UACGAAGGGGGCUAGCGUUGCUCGGAAUCACUGGGCGUAAAGCGCACGUAGGCGGCUUUUUAAGUCGGAGGUGAAAUCCUGGAGCUCAACUCCAGAACUGCCUUCGAUACUGAGAAGCUCGAGUCCGGGAGAGGUGAGUGGAACUGCGAGUGUAGAGGUGAAAUUCGUAGAUAUUCGCAAGAACACCAGUGGCGAAGGCGGCUCACUGGCCCGAUACUGACGCUGAGGCACGAAAGCUAGGGGAGCAAACAGG
rnacentral:rRNA from 1 species